UAUCUUUGCACCGUCGAAACACGGCUACAUAAAAAUUAUUUAAAACAAUAUUCGAAUG
rnacentral:ncRNA from 1 species